GCGCUCCUCCACCGUGCGCUCGUACUGCAGCUGAGAUCGUCGCUCCUUCUCCCGGAUCAGCUGCUCCCGUGCCGCUGAAAGAGGGUGUGGAGGGCCUAACAAUGACUUCAACUUUUACCAUCAUCAUCAGCAUCUUCAUCACUGGCAGGGGGAGGAUGCUCGUAAAAAUAAUAGUCUAAUCUGUAGGGGGCCAUGUCAAUGCGCUCAACACCCUUCAAAGCUCUUCGACGACAGAGUGACGUCAUUACAAUAACAACGUAAUCUACGUUUUGCCUUUAAAUCUCCAACAAGGCUUCCCCUUCCGGAAGCACAAUUAAACAAAUUACAGGAAACAC